GGAGCAAAGCAAUAUCUUCCCCCUUCUAUUCCUCAUCCUGGGAGGGAGAGAGAAGAGGGAAGGCACUGUACACUUGUACCAACUGGCGGCGGAUAGUGUGAAUGCAAGUGAAGGGGUUUCAGAUUCUCUCUCUCUCUCUCGAGGCUUUCUGAUCCUCAUGGCAUUUAUCAGAACUGGAACGUGAAAAGGAUUCUGUAUCUUCUGCCUGACAAAAGAAGUUGUGAGAGAGCAUUAGGGGGUUGGAUGAGAAUUUGAUGAUGUUGGCAGCAUUUCUCCAGCAAAGAGAAGUGGAGGUGGAGACCAUGGAUGAUGGUGAGAACACUCAAACAACCCACCGUGGAGUUUGCAUUGCUGACAGAAAGCAGUUUGUGUUCAGCAGC